rnacentral:rRNA from 1 species
GACGAACGCUAGCGGCGUGCUUAACACAUGCAAGUCGAACGGAAAGGCCCCUUUGGGGGUACUCGAGUGGCGAACGGGUGAGUAACACGUGAGUAACCUGCCCUUGACUUCGGGAUAACUUCAGGAAACUGGGGCUAAUACCGGAUAGGAAUCCUUGCUGCAUGGUGGGGGUUGGAAAGCUUCGGCGGUUUUGGAUGGACUCGCGGCUUAUCAGCUUGUUGGUGGGGUAGUGGCUUACCAAGGCUUUGACGGGUAGCCGGCCUGAGAGGGCGACCGGCCACAUUGGGACUGAGAUACGGCCCAGACUCCUACGGGAGGCAGCAGUGGGGAAUAUUGGACAAUGGGCGAAAGCCUGAUCCAGCCAUGCCGCGUGUGUGAAGAAGGUCUUCGGAUUGUAAAGCACUUUAAGUUGGGAGGAAGGGCAGUAAGUUAAUACCUUGCUGUUUUGACGUUACCAACAGAAUAAGCACCGGCUAACUUCGUG